AAAUGUUUCUGAACGUGGGCUCAUUAUUUCCGAACGUAUCUCUUUGUGAACUAGUAACAAGCAUCCUGUAGGCCAGCACCGGUUCCCAGACCGCUCCCCGUCCCCCUUUGAAUAGGGCCGCUGGACGUUUUGCGAGUGACCUCCUGACGUCCUUGCCAGCCCGGUUUUCCUCUAGAAACACAACAGAAGCUGGUACAUAUUCAGGUACGUGACUCUAGUGUGGGGCCAACUCCAAAGAGAUCUCCGAUGUGCAGCGGGGGAGCUUCUGAGAAUGCUUCAAGCCUGGACACGUUUCCAGCAAGGGACCAUGACCACCAGGAAAAGAGCCUGGCCUGAGCCCGGAAUCCGCGAGUACUUCCUCAGAGGCUCCCAGGACUGUUGAUAGAAUUCGCUGAGAACCCAGGCAAGAGCUUCUGCCUGCGCAUCAGCCAGCUGCCUCCUUCUACUUCACGUUGAGGGCCGUAACACCGUGCUGCGCAGCUGAGCUCCGAACCACGGUGAGUAGGUAUAAAUGCUUGUCUGCUAGGUAAGGUAUGGCGUGCUGCAGAGUUGUAAUA